AUAUGAAGUAGCAGAGGAGGUUGCUGAAUGGAGGAAUAUGAAGUAGCAGAGGAGGUUGAUGAAUGGUGGAAUAUGAAGUAGCAGAGGAGGUUGGUGAAUGAAGGAAAAUGAAGUAGCAGAGGAGGUUGAUGAAUGAAGGAAUAUGAAGUAGCAGAGGAGGUUGAUGAAUGAAGGAAUAUGAAGUAGCAGAGGAGGUUGAUGAAUGAAGGAAUAUGAAGUAGCAGAGGAGGUUGAUGAAUGAAGGAAUAUGAAGUAGCAGAGGAGGUUGAUGAAUGAAGGAAUAUGAAGUAGUUUCCGGGGAACUAGAAUGGCAGCAGAACUGGGUCCAGUCAGAGUCCAGUAGCACCAGAACCAGAAUACACAGGUCCCUUCAGAGCCAGGGGAGAGUCCAUUGCCCAGAGGGCAGCGAUGCCAGUUCCUGCAAUGUCAGGACACCCUGGGACCCCCAGACUGGCAGAGCUGGGGUAAACGGGCCCGGACCUGUCCAAGCACGGCCCCCGAGCGACCACUCCCCCUGCCGGCCCACCUCAGGUGCUCAGGCUGUCCCUCGCCAGGAGAGGCUCAUUGAAAGCCAGUACGAUAGGAAGCUGACCCGCAGCAUCUCCCCCACUGUCUCCAGUAUCCGCUGCCCGCACCCAUCCGCCCGGCGCCUUACUCCUUAUUGCCAGAGGGAAGGAAGCUCGCCUGCCGUAGCCGCUCCACGCUGCUAUUGGAC